UUAUGUUUAUUGAAUUACUUCUAUUUGUUAGAAAUGAUUGGUCUGCUGAAGGUCAAGUAACCCUUUUGAAUUUUGCCCUCAGAGCAUGCUUGGGGUGCAGUAUGUGUUUACCUGCACUCCCAGUUGUUCAAUUCAAUUAAAUCAAAGUACCCAUUUUUAUUGAGAGUUUGGUGGGGCUUCUAUCUCUGCGUUUCUUGUUAUUGCCUUGUCACAAAUGUUAUUCUUUAUAGAAAAUGUGUUAAUUUACCAGUUCAAUAUUCUGUUUCCGAUGUUUUAUCUGUUGUUUCGGGUUUCUUCCUCUGUUAUGUGCGGGUUUUUGGAAAGAGUGAGGGUGAGGAUACCCUUCUUGAAGAACCUCUCUUGAAUGGUGAUUCUAGUGCUAGCAAUGAACCAGAGUCAAGCAAGUCCAAGGGGGUUGAAACUGUAACCCCUUAUUCAAGUGCUGGAUUUUUCAGCAAUCUUACCCUCUCCUGGCUGGGUUCUCUAAUUGCCCUUGGCAAUGAGAAGACUUUAGACAUUGAGGAUGUUCCUCAACUUGCUCCCAGUGAUAGCGUAGUUGGGGCUUUCCUGGCAUUUAGAAAUAAGCUUGAGGCAGAGUGUGGUACAGUUAACAAAGUGACCACAUUGAAGCUAGUGAAGGCAUUGAUCUUCUUCGCAUGGAAAGAGAUUCUUUUGACAGCCAUAUACGUGAUGAUGAACACAUUGGCUUCCUAUGUCGGGCCAUAUCUUAUUGACAAUUUUGUUCAGUACCUCAAUGGGGGCCAACAUAACAAGAGUGAGGGCUAUGUUCUAGUUUCAGUAAUUUUUGCUGCAAAACUUGUGGAAUGUAUCUCAAAAAGGCAUUGGUCCUUUAGGUUGCAGCUGGUUGGAAUUAGGGUCCGAUCAGUAUUGGUUACAAUGAUCUAUAAUAACGGUAUGACCCUUUCAUGCCAGUCAAAGCAGGGCCACACUAGUGGGGAGAUCAUCAAUCUUAUGACAGUUGAUGCUGAGAGGAUAGGGGACUUUGGUUGGUAUAUGCAUGAUCCAUGGAUGGUCCCUCUUCAUGUUGCUAUCACAUUGUUAAUUUUAUAUAAAAAUCUUGGGCUUGCUUCAAUUGCAGCUUUUUUUGCAACUGUACUUGUUAUGUUGGCUAAUUAUCCAUUGGGAAAAUUACAAGUGAAGUUUCAGGACAAGAUAAUGGAGUCAAAAGACAGAAGGAUGAAUGCAACAUCUGAGAUUUUAAGGAACAUGGGGAUUCUCAAGCUUCAAGGAUGGGAGAUGAAGUUUCUAUCUAAAAUUUCCAAGCUCAGGGAGACCGAGGCAGGAUGGUUAAAAAGGUAUGUUUACACUAUGGUGAUGACUACAUUUGUCUUUUGGGGUGCCCCCACAUUUGUGUCUGUGGCCACUUUUGGUGCUUGUACGCUCUUUGGAAUCCCACUUGAGUCGGGGAAGAUCUUAUCUGCACUUGCAACGUUUAGGAUUCUUCAGGAGCCUAUCUUUUAUCUUCCCGAGGGUAUCUCAAUGAUUGCUCAAAGUAAAGUGUCCCUUGAUCGAAUUGUAUCAUUCCUUCAUCUUGAUGACUUGCAGUUUGACACAAUAGAGAAGCUUCCAAGAGAUAGUUCUGAUACAGAAAUAGAGAUUAUUGAUGGGAAUUUCUCUUGGAAUUUGUCUUCCUCUAAUCCUACAUUGAAAGAUAUAAAUUUGAAAGUGCAACAUGGCAUGAGGGUUGCUGUUUGUGGAAUUGUUGGUUCAGGAAAGUCUAGUUUGUUUUCUUGUAUCCCUGGAGAAAUUCCUAGGAUAUUUGGCACUGCUAAGUUGUGUGGGACAAAGGCCUAUGUUGCUCAGUCACCAUGGAUACAAAGUGGUAAGAUUGAAGAAAACAUAUUUUUUGGUAAGGAGAUGGAAAGAAUGAGGUAUGAAAGGGUCCUUCAAGCAUGUUCAUUGAAGAAGGAUCUGGAAAUUCUCUCAUUUGGGGAUCAGACAGUUAUAGGUGAGCGAGGAAUCAAUUUGAGUGGUAGGCAGAAGCAAAGAAUCCAAAUUGCACGUGCUCUAUACCAAAAUACUGAUAUCUAUUUAUUUGAUGAUCCUUUUAGUGCUGUGGAUGCUCAUACAGGAUCCCACCUCUUUAGGUUGCUGCUUGGCUCUUUUGAAAUGGAUUUAUUUGAUACCUAUAUGGCAGAAAUGUUUGCUGGGCCUCUUCGAGUUCAAAAACUUGUGGAUGGAUUGUUCAUUUGGUGGCCAGAUCAUUCUUGGCCACCAAAUGGAGAAGUGGAUAUUUGUGAUCUGCAGGUAAGGUAUGCCCCACAUAUGCCACUUGUUUUGCGAGGUCUCUCAUGUACUUUUCCUGGUGGAAUGAAAACUGACAUUGUAGGGAGAACGGGCAGUGGUAAAUCAACUCUCAUACAAGCACUUUUCCGGAUUGUUGAACCUGCUGCUGGUCAGAUAAUUAUAGAUGGAAUCAACAUCUCCUUGAUUGGACUGCAUGAUUUGCGAUCUAGACUAAGCAUUAUCCCUCAGGAACCAACAAUGUUUGAAGGGAAUAUAAGAAGCAACCUGGAUCCACUCGAUGAGCAUGCAGAUGGACAAAUUUGGGAGGCUUUGGAUAAGUGUCAACUUGGAGAUAAAGUUAGGGAGAAAGAAGGAAAACUAGAUUCCACAGUUAGUGAGAACGGAGAGAAUUGGAGUGUGGGUCAGAGGCAGCUGGUCUGCCUUGGCCGUGUGCUGCUCAAGAAAAGUAAGGUAUUGGUGCUUGAUGAAGCUACUGCAUCUGUUGAUACUGCUACGUAUAAUCUGAUUCAGCAAACCCUCAGUCAACAUUUUUCCAACUGAACAAUCAUUACCAUUGCACAUCGAAUAACUUCCGUUCUUCAUAGUGACAUGGUUCUGCUACUAAAUAAUGGGCUUAUAGAGGAAUAUGAUUCUCCAAAUAGAUUGCUAGAAAACAAGUCAUCGUCUUUUGCUCAACUUGUAGCGGAGUACACGGUAAGGUCAAAUUCUAGUUUUGGGUAAGUUAAGCGACUAAAGCUUAUUUGGACCUUGCUGAACGAUAUUGAUGAGAUUUUGUUGAUCUGGCUAGUGGUUUCUGUGUGUUGUAGGCAUAUUGUACGAACAAAUGGUGUACACUACUAAAUAUCAGAUAAUAAAAAAUAGUGAUAGUGUAGGUUGUAACUUU